GUGGUGGGUGGUCACAGGAUCACAUGGUGGCCGUGUGGAGACAAAGCUUAUGGGGCAGUGAGUGAAGCACUACACUAGCCAGCGUAUCCUGUAGCAGAGUAUAUUGCGAGCAUUAUUACAGGGGAAUAAAAGCUACAGGAAAAGCCUACAUCUUCUUGGGCAUUUGACAAUCUAACCUCAUCUUCCUCGCAGGUGCACACCCCAAUAUUAACGGUGAUAUUAUCAUAGCAGAAAUUUUAUUAAUUGAUUUGCUCAUAGGGUGCUUGGGUCACACAACCCUAUCGAUUUAUUUAUGAUGAAGUUUAGUGUUUUCUAUCUGUUUCUUAUGCUUAUUCUGUGAAAAUAAUGAAUUGGGGUUUCCUUUUACAAUGUUGCUUACAAUAAUGUAGAAGCGACUUGGAGUUAAUGUUGGUUGAAGAAGAUUGGGCAAUUCUCUGUGCACUGAACACUAUGACCUAUUACAUGGAUCACUGUUCCCUGUCAAAAACUUCGAGCUAACUCGCUGGUUUCUGAUUUUGAGGGGAAAGGCAAUAUUAAUGUUCCUGUCUACAAUUUGUUGUGCAUUUGCAUGUGGCUUAUCUACCUUUAAUACUCAUCUUAGGUUAAUUCUUUUUCCUUUUCUUUCUCUUUUUUGUGUUCAUCAUUUGCCAGUACUUUUUCCUCCAAAAUGGUGCUCUAUGUGUUUAUGAUUUUAGCUCUUUAUUUCUUUUACGGUAGACAUACAGAACCGUAACUGAGUACCAAAAUAUCAAAAUAUCAUGCGUAGUCAUUUUAUUAGUUUCAAUGAUGGUGAUAUUUACUGUGAAUGUAAUAAGAAUUGUAUAAAAAAUAGCAAUACGCUAAAAGUAGGGCAAAUAUUUUUUUUGCAAGUACUGUAAAUUUGUGACAGAAAGUUUGAGCCAGGUUUAUAAAGAGAAAAUGUCUCACAAAGAAAGAGAUAUAUCAGCAGAAACCUCUCACCAUGAAUUUCUUAUGUAAGAUAUCUGAUCUCUGAAGCACAUACAUACUAUCCUGCAGCUUCAUUAUUUGCUGGACUUGUGCAAAUUUAAUUAGUAGGUAGGCAUAAGAUGAAGGGCCGUAUUCAAUGUUGUGGGGCAUACGAUAUGAUGUAUCAGCCUAACUAUUUUGAGGUAAAGGGAGAAGUGAAGGAUCUGCUGCAACAAAACUACCCACAAAUACUGCAAUUUUUUUUUUCUUGGAGGAAACGAAUAUUUUUACAUUUUCUGGAUAUCUGCAGUUGCAAUUCUCAAACUGAAUCUGAAGUAUCCUAGCAUAGAGACUCUGUAUGUUGAUUUUGUGGACAAAUCAAUAAACUAAUGAGCUGCAAUUAAAGAAUUGUAACAGAGUUGCUUUGGAUCUUGAUAUUGAAAUUUGAUUGGUACUUUGCAUUGAAAACCAAGUAGAAGGACAGUGCUCGCUUUCCUUUCUUUCAAUCAGUAAAACUAUGAUCUAAUUUCUCACGCGUGUCUAACUUUUCCCUUUUCUUUCUAAUUCUAUCAAAACAUCGAAAAGGAGGCGUUCCUGGAGAUCUCCUUUAUGUUGGCAUGGUGGUCACUCAUGUUCAAAGAUUCCUGGUAGAUGAGAAUUUAUUGACAUCACACUGCCUUCAUCAUUAUGCAAUUCCAUUGAGUUGAAGCAGUUUUCAAUUGUCCUUCAUGUAAGCCAAAUUAAAUGUGCCAUGCAGGUUAUGUAGUCCUCUUUUGCAUUAUUGUACCUAUAUUUUCACGACCUAAAAGGAGUAAAUAUUUCCUGAUGAAAAUUCAAUAUGAAAAUCUUCAAGAGUCCUCAAGAAAGCGGCAUGUGAAGCUAUGAAAGAGACUGGAUCAAUCAAUCUGAGACUGGAUUAAUCAAUCUGAAACUAUGAACUCAGGUGAAUUUCUGCCUCUCGCUUUCUUUAAUACGAGCGAUCAAUCUCGAGCUUAUUUGGAGGCGAACAAGUUAGCUUAUCAACAACAAGCUGGAUUGCGAGCCUCGCAACGAUAUAGUUGCUUUUUGAGCCAAUAGUUGCGAGUUCAUUUUACAAGUACAUAUUUUUGAGGAAGUUACUUUUAUUAGUAGUUACUUUUAUACUUUUUGAGCCCUGUACACAUUUUACAAGUACA
rnacentral:lncRNA from 1 species